rnacentral:rRNA from 1 species
ACCCGNGCCGACGCGCCAAGGACAUGAUGUAAGGCGUUCUCUUGUCGUCCCGGCAACGGUGCANGUGCAUGAGUGACGNGAAUUUGUAUCCNANAUGACUCUCGGCGAACGGAUAUCUCGGCUCUCGCAUCGAUGAAGAACGUAGCGAAAUGCGAUACUUGGUGUGAAUUGCAGAAUCCCGUGAACCAUCGAGUCUUUGAACGCAAGUUGCGCCCGAAGCCAUUAGGCCGAGGGCACGUCUGGCUGGGUGUCACGCAAUGUCGCCCCAACCCCCACGCCCAUCGCAGGGCGUCGGGGGUCAAGGGCGGAUGAUGGCCUCCCGUGAGCCACGCCUCGCGGAUGGCCGAAAUAAGAGUUUGCGAUGUGGCGAGCACCACGGCGCACGGUAGUUGAGUAAACAACGCUCGAGCCCAGUCGUGUGUGCUCCGCCCCCGUGGCGAGCUCGGAGACCCUAUCGCGUCUCGGGACGCUUCUGAUGCGACCUCAGCUCAGGCGGGGCUACCCGCUGAGUUUAAGCAUAUCAAUAAGGGAGGAAAAGGUACUAAGCAAGGAUUCCCNNUGAGUAGACGGCGAUGCGAACCGGG